UCAAUUUUCUUUCUUGAAAAUAGAUUAAUAGUUUCUCCCCCUUUUUUUUUUUUCCAGCUUGAGGCAGAAAUCUAACAGAAAUUUUCAGCUUGAAUGAUGAAAGUUUCGUGAAGCUGUACGGAAUGGGAAAUAGCUUCUUCUUCUGGGAAGUGCUGAGCGACCCUGACGUGGGCUGGGACUCUCAGGCGGCGCAGGGUGGUCUGGCAAAGCCUUCAGCAGGGCACUGCACUGGUCGGGCAGUGUCAUGAAACUCAGAGGCGAUCAGAGAGGCAAAGGUAAAUAACAGAUAAAUCCCAGACACUUCUUCUUCCAAGAAACCUCACAGAUCUAGGCUAAAUUUUCUGAGAUGCUCUCUCUGGCUUUGAGAAGCGGUGCAGAUUGCCUCACAAUUCUGUACUGUUCCCUUGUCUUUUCUUUCCAGGACACCAGGACACACGGGUGCUACUGAGCAGUGACUGAAACCCAAGACCUGCUGCAGCAUGACACUGGUCCCGGCCGUAGACCGUGAAAUGGGAUGGCCGAGUAUUUGCACGAGGAAGCACUGCCCGGAGCCCAGGACACAAAUCUGCACGGCAGUAAGGUAUUAAACAGCCUCAGCCCUGCUCGGAGAUGGCAGACACACAGCCAUGUGCUCGGUCCUGAGCUCACAGCAGGACCGAUAGCCUCUGGCAGCAGGGCAGCUGCUGGCAGUGGCCUGGUUCAGCCAGGUUUACCUGGAGGCCGGCAGGACACAGCGAGCAGCUUGACCCGGCCUGCAGCCCCUGAGCAUAACCAGGCACCCGCAGACACUUAA
rnacentral:lncRNA from 1 species